rnacentral:rRNA from 1 species
ACUCCUACGGGAGGCAGCAGUGGGGAAUUUUGGACAAUGGGCGAAAGCCUGAUCCAGCAAUGCCGCGUGAGUGAAGAAGGCCUUCGGGUUGUAAAGCUCUUUUGUCAGGGAAGAAACGGUGAGAGCUAAUAUCUUUUGCUAAUGACGGUACCUGAAGAAUAAGCACCGGCUAACUACGUGCCAGCAGCCGCGGUAAUACGUAGGGUGCAAGCGUUAAUCGGAAUUACUGGGCGUAAAGCGUGCGCAGGCGGUUUUGUAAGUCUGAUGUGAAAUCCCCGGGCUCAACCUGGGAAUUGCAUUGGAGACUGCAAGGCUAGAAUCUGGCAGAGGGGGGUAGAAUUCCACGUGUAGCAGUGAAAUGCGUAGAUAUGUGGAGGAACACCGAUGGCGAAGGCAGCCCCCUGGGUCAAGAUUGACGCUCAUGCACGAAAGCGUGGGGAGCAAACAGGAUUAGAUACCCUGGUAGUCCACGCCCUAAACGAUGUCUACUAGUUGUCGGGUCUUAAUUGACUUGGUAACGCAGCUAACGCGUGAAGUAGACCGCCUGGGGAGUACGGUCGCAAGAUUAAAACUCAAAGGAAUUGACGGGGACCUCCACAAGCGGUGGAGCAUGUGG